CCGGCGAUGUCCGAAUGGGGAAACCCAGUGCAAUUCGUUGCACUAUCGUUAACUGAAUACAUAGGUUAACGAGGCGAACCGGGGGAACUGAAACAUCUAAGUACCCCGAGGAAAAGAAAUCAACCGAGAUUCCCCCAGUAGCGGCGAGCGAACGGGGAGCAGCCCAGAGUCUGAAUCAGCUUGUGUGUUAGUGGAACGGUCUGGAAAGUCCGACGGUACAGGGUGAUAGUCCCGUACACCAAAAUGCACAGGCUGUGAACUCGAAGAGUAGGGCGGGACACGUGGUAUCCUGUCUGAAUAUGGGGGGACCAUCCUCCAAGGCUAAAUACUCCUGACUGACCGAUAGUGAACCAGUACCGUGAGGGAAAGGCGAAAAGAACCCCGGCGAGGGGAGUGAAAAAGAACCUGAAACCGUGUACGUACAAGCAGUGGGAGCACCUUCGGGUGUGACUGCGUACCUUUUGUAUAAUGGGUCAGCGACUUAUAUUCUGUAGCAAGGUUAACCGUAUAGGGGAGCCGCAGGGAAACCGAGUCUUAACUGGGCGUUAAGUUGCAGGGUAUAGACCCGAAACCCGGUGAUCUAGCCAUGGGCAGGUUGAAGGUUGGGUAACACUAACUGGAGGACCGAACCGACUAAUGUUGAAAAAUUAGCGGAUGACUUGUGGCUGGGGGUGAAAGGCCAAUCAAACCGGGAGAUAGCUGGUUCUCCCCGAAAGCUAUUUAGGUAGCGCCUCGUGAACUCAUCUUCGGGGGUAGAGCACUGUUUCGGCUAGGGGGUCAUCCCGACUUACCAACCCGAUGCAAACUACGAAUACCGAAGAAUGUUAUCACGGGAGACACACGGCGGGUGCUAACGUCCGUCGUGAAGAGGGAAACAACCCAGACCGCCAGCUAAGGUCCCAAAGUCAUGGUUAAGUGGGAAACGAUGUGGGAAGGCACAGACAGCCAGGAUGUUGGCUUAGAAGCAGCCAUCAUUUAAAGAAAGCGUAAUAGCUCACUGGUCGAGUCGGCCUGCGCGGAAGAUGUAACGGGGCUAAACCAUGCACCGAAGCUGCGGCAGCGAC
rnacentral:rRNA from 1 species